AUGUGGAAUGAUGAUCUCAAAAUUUCUGUUCAUACUGCCUCCUUUCAUUAUAUCUUAGCGAAUGUAGUACAUGUAGCGUCGGGUAUUCACUUCUGUUUGAUAUGUAUAUAUGGUGAUCCCUAUCAUAGGCAGACUAGUACUAUUUGAAAUCAUGUUUCCAGUUUUGUGUAUGAUAACCUGGGUAAGCCUAUGAUCUGUAUGGGCGACCUCGAUGACAUACUGUAUGAUGCUGAUAUAUCUAAUGGUUGUGUGAAUUACUAUCGUAUGUCUGGCUUUCAUUCUUUAAUUAAAAGUUGUGGUUUAUUUGAUAUCGGUUACAGUGGUCCUGCCUACACUUGGCGUAAUAGACAACAUACUGCUAAUCCUUUUACAGACGUCUAG
rnacentral:rRNA from 1 species